AGGAUGCAGCAUUCAAGGUUCUAUCUUGGAAGCAGAGACUGUGCCCUCACCAGAUGCUGAACCUGCUGAGCACCCUGAUCUUCCACUUCACCUUCAUCAGAACUAGAUGGAGUUUCACCGUGUUAGCCAGGAUGGUCUUGAUCUCCUGACCUCGUGAUCCGCCUGCCUUGGCCUCCCAAAGUGCUGGGAUUACAGACUGUUUGCUGUGAUUGCACCUGCCAUCUUAUGCAGAAAUGACCUGAAGACAGAUUGAAACAACGUGUUCUACAGCCUGAAAAUAUCUACCUUGACUUACAGUUUUAUUAAUGCUGGUGUGAUCAGACUGGACAAAAAUUAGCAUAUGUUAUUAACUAAUCUAAUUCAAAUGCCAAUUCUUAAUAGAAACACAAAACAAUAAAAGCAAUUCAGAAAAUA
rnacentral:lncRNA from 1 species